rnacentral:rRNA from 1 species
UACGGAGGAUGCGAGCGUUAUCCGGAUUUAUUGGGUUUAAAGGGUGCGUAGGCGGGCUUUUAAGUCAGCGGUAAAAAUUCGGGGCUCAACCCCGUCCGGCCGUUGAAACUGGGGGCCUUGAGUGGGCGAGAAGAAGGCGGAAUGCGUGGCGUAGCGGUGAUAUGCAUAGAUAUCACGCAGAACCCCGAUUGCGAAGGCAGCCUUCCGGCGCCCUACUGACGCUGAGGCACGAAAGUGCGGGGAUCGAACAGG